rnacentral:rRNA from 1 species
UACGGAGGAUGCGAGCGUUAUCCGGAUUCAUUGGGUUUAAAGGGUGCGCAGGCGGCCGUGCAAGUCAGCGGUGAAAUCCCGGGGCCCAACCCCGGAAGUGCCGUUGAUACUGUGUGGCUGGAAUGCGGUCGAGGCGGGCGGAACGUGGCGUGUAGCGGUGAAAUGCGUAGAUAUGCCACAGAACGCCGGUAGCGGAGGCAGCUCGCCAGGCCUGCAUUGACGCUCGGGCACGAAAGCGUGGGGAU